GCCACUUUGGUUUAGCCCGGUAUAAUAGCUGACUUGUAAUCAGCGGGUCGGGGGUUCAAAUCCCUCAAGUGGCU
rnacentral:tRNA from 1 species